AUCACGCACGCCGAGCUUCGGGUAACUCUCACAGUGGAAGAAUCUGACUUUUGUCUUUAUGGCUAAAGAAGCAGUGCUGUAUCCCACAGUAGUACAAAGGGCAAAAGAUGAGUGCCAGGCAUGGAUUGCAGAUUUCCACAGUCCAUGGUGACCAGACUGCAACUUACAGCAUCCAUGUAGAAUGGUCCACGGCACGCACGACAUUUCCGCUGAUAACCAAAACAGGGAAACCUUGCUAUUUUCUGUGAUCUCCCUCAGAGUUUUGACUGAGAGCACAUCUAUAAGUCUCAUCUACUAAGAAAUGGAUUUUGGUUCAAGGCAUGAAAACUUGUAUUUGAAGUGCCCAAAUGGAAACUCACUGUGGGUAGGUGGACUUGUGACCAGAAGGCCAAUAUUGAUAAAGAACACACCAUUUUUCCCCGCUGUGGGAAGACAGGCUCAGUCCUUUUUUUAUUCAUAUUUUUCUCUCUUCUUCCACUUUUCCUCUCUCUAGCUUCACCUCUCUCCAAAUAUCUAUGAAGUCUCUAUCAUGCACCAGGCACCAAGCAAGACACUGGGAGUACACGUGGAGUACAAAGGUGCUAUUGGGGAUUACUAUUUUCAUGAAGCUCUUAGGCCUUUUUCACAGAGCUUGCCAUGUUUUACUUGAAUCCUAUUUUCAUUCUCUCUUGAUUAUGAUCUCCCUGAGUGAAGGAAUCAGGCCUUAUCCUGGCAGAGCAAAAUGUGUGGCUUAGAGCUGAAAAUAUUUGCAGAGUGGCCCGGCCAUCCAGGGAUGUGGCAUUAGGAAGAUUGUCCAUCCGCGCUGUCCUCAGCGUGGGAACGAAGAGCACCAGUGACUGGCCGGGGGAAGGAUACUUGAUGAAGGCACUGGAAAGUGGCUGUGUAAAGUCUCUAUUUGGUAUUUUUAAACUCAACUAACCUAUUGCUUCUUUGAAACUCCAGCCUUAAGAGAUACAGGCAGGCUCUGUUCUUUUAAAGUACAAAGAUGCCUCUAGUGGUGGCAGACGUGUGGUGCAAAUAUGACAUUAAUAGAACAUGUAUGUGCUUUGAGGUCACACAAUUCAAAACUGGAUCUCUGGGGAAUAAGGAAAGGAGGGUGGGGGUGGAGAAGUGAGUUGUCCUUAGGUUUUCUGACUAUCCUUAAAUCAGGAGCGGCUUGUUGAAAGCAAAUGGUCUGGUGGGAAGAUUUUGGUGUCCAAGGCAGUUCUCUUCCUGUUGUCUUCCUACUGUUGGUUCAUGGGUGUUCACAAACUCCACACAUUCAUUUCCUGCCUCCCUGGAAUAGUGAUUUAAGAGAGUACGAGGGUCUUCCCUGCCUUUUUUAUGUCUCAACAUAUCAUACUUUGACACUAACUAAACUGUUUCACUGUCUUCUUGUGGUGCAAUCUGCUUUCUCCUUUUCCCAGUGUAAGGAGCUUAUGAAAAGACACCCCAUUUGUGCAUCCAUCUUGGGAACUCUGCCAGCCUCUAUAAAGACUUUGCUAAAUUGUGCUUAGACACUGGGAAGAUGUGAUCAUUCUGGCUUCUCAUAACAUGGACAUUUUUUCUUUAUACACAAGACUCUGCCUUAUUGGCAACAAUUCCCUGUAAUUCUACUGUGCAAUGGUCAAUAGAAACCCCAAAACCUGGCACAUUUGAAAGAAGGAACUGUCGCUUAAUUCAUGUGAAGAAAUAGUUCAAGUUUAGAGCCUCCUCUUCUUCUCCAAGUCAUGGUAUAAAAUGAGGGUUUUCUUUCUGAAAAUACUUUGAAACUACAGGCGAGGCUGAGGUGGGUGUGGGCAGGACAGAGAACACAGAACACCUAAGGAAGCAUGAGGAGGCAGGAAAGAGAGAGAGAGUGAGAGAGAGAGAAAGAGUUGGCGGGGUUGGGUGGGGACACAGACAGAACACUUGGGGAAGCAUUGGUGGGGAGGAACCACGGAGCACCUGGGGGUACACUGUGGGAGAGCACAGAGUACCUGGGGAAGCAUGGGAGCUGGGAGGGUCAGUGCUGCUCUAAGGGUUUCUGGAGCAGAGGCAAUCACCCAACUUCAGGCACCUGGCUGUUGUCUUUCAACUUUUGCUCAUUGGGCAUGCAGCCUGAUGCCAGCAGGUUAGAAAGGCAAACAGAAAAUUAUACUUCCGUUCAGGGCUUAGAACAUGAAACUACAGGCUGGUUGCAGUGGCUCACACUUGUAAUCCCAACACUUUGGGAGGCUGAGGCAGGUGGAUCAUCUGAGGUCAGGAGUUCAAAACCAGCCUGGCCAACAGGGUGAAACCUCGUCUCUACUAAAAAGACAAAAAUUAGCUGGGUGGUAGUGGCAUACGCCUGUAAUCCUAGCUACUCAGGAGGCUGAGGCAGGAAAAUUGCCUGAGCCUGGGAGGUGGAGGUUGCAGUGAGCCAAGAUCGCACCACUGCACUCCAGCCUGGGUGACAGAGUAAAACCCUUUCUCAAAAACAAAACAAAACAAAACAAAAAUAAAAAACAUGAAACUACAGUUUCUGAGCAAAAACUCAAAUGUCUAUAGUGUUAAGCACCAACUACUUUACUAAAUACUUUUUCAUUAACAGCUUUAACAAACUUUUCUGAACUGUUGCAUUGGUGAGAUUUGUCUGUCUCUGGAAGGAUGCACUCAACAUAUAUUACAUAGUUUGGUAACAACACCCACAUGAUUGAGUAGGUUUAUCAUUAUCCUUUCAAGAAUCAAGCAUAUGAGUUAAAAAUAAUGUUAACAUUUUAAGGUCAAAAAAUGAAAGCAAGAUUAAAAUAUGGUUAUUUGAUAAUAUAUAGAGAAAUGAUGGCAAGGAGACAUUUGUUCAGCAGCACCAGGGUCUUGUUGCACUGGCUGCAUUUUCCCAUCAGGAUUCUGGAAAUGCUUUUUAGUGGGGCUGAGGAUAUGCUCUGGUUGGGAGCAGGUUUCAGCCAGGGCCUCACCUUUACUUCCCAAUGUCUUCCACAUCUUUGUUCCUUUUUCUGUUUAGUAUGAUGUCCUGGCAAUAAGGACAGAAAUGUGUGUUUGUGUGUGUUAGGGGUGGGGGAAUGAUACCCUAAACUCUGACUCUCUAAUGGGCACAGCAGAUGACCAUUACUAUAGUAGAUGUCAUCUCACUACUGGCGAAGCAGACCAGUCUCUUUGAAGUGGCUGCUGAACAACCUUAAGAUCUAUGCAAAAUAUUUGAUACCAGCUCUUGGCUCUCAGUAUGAAGUUCCCAGUGUGGCUAAUACCUUGGCAGUAAAACCCACACUAAUGGUGUUUAUUGCUUUAUGAUUUUUAAGGACUCUAUGCUAAUGCUGGUGCUAGGAUUAGGCGUUUCCUAACCCCUCAGGCAACUGUGCAACUGUGGUCAAAGUGGGUGUUACUGGUGGUGGCCAGGGGUUAUGCCCUUUUGCCUAUCAGUAACUGGAAUCACUGCUCACUUUGUGCCCUAAAGAUCUCAGAUGGACUUAAACUCUGGGAAAUGAAUGUUUCACUGGCAUUUUAAGACAAGUAAUUGCAAACAUUUCCUUGGAGUUACAAUAACUUAAAAACAACUUGUCUUUUGUAAGAUAAAGUAAAGAUAAAUCUGCUUGUUAUAAACCAAGUGAUCCUCUACAGUUGAAUCACACUGGGGAUGCUGCUCAAAGGAAUAGAGUUGAAUCUAAUUUUAAAGGGCAUUGAAAAGAAAUUUAGAUUUUUGCUAUCAAGCUGUGAACAAUUUAGAAAAAUAAACAGCAAACAGAGCCCUCACAGAGCAGACAUUCUUUAAAAUGUUAAAAAUGUUAUAUUUAUUGUCCCUAUUUUUCCUUUAUCAGAAAAAAAUAACAAUUUCUUUUAACUAAAAUGGAAUUCCAAUGUAUUCCUGGAACCGGGAUCCAUCGCCUCACUCUUUUCCCCAGGGAUAUGCUGAUAGGGCCAUGUAGAGGCAAUAACAUUUGGCCCCAACUCCAACCCAAUGACUGCCACUGACUUCCAAAGUCAUACUACUCUGUGCAUCCCUGCUACCUGAGAGGAGCCAUUUGGUGGUCAAGCAAAUUUUGGGGCCAAGAUUUGGAGUCAUAGCUGAGAGAUGAACACUUUAGUUCCUUUCCUUCUUGCAGUGGGGUCCCAUAGGCAAAAUUAGGCAAGCCUAGGUAUUUUUCAGGCCCACAUUCCCACUCUAGUCUUAAUUUAUCAGAAGAAUCUUUAUUUCAGCCAGAGAGAUCCAUUCUUGCUUUAUCUCAGGAGUGAACCGGCCUAGUUCUCUCUGUCUGUGUGUGAUUAUGAGUGAGUGAAACCUCUCCUUUCUAGCAUGAAAGAACUAAGGUUUCCACUUCCUAUGGAAACACAUGCCAAAUGACAACCAUGAUAAAGUAUAGGUUAAUUUACAGGGUAAUGAGGAGAAGGGGUCAAGAUGCUUAUUUAAAUACAGUGAAUAUUUUUAUUUUGGGGUUUCUAAGUAUUUAUUGUUGAAAUUAAACUCUGUUAAUAAGUAAAGCCAGUGAAUCUAAACUGAGCCUUUAGAAGGACUUUUCCUUAAGCUUAGAGAAGGAAAGUGUUAACCUAGCAUCAGAUAACUGAGUAGCCCCAUAACCUCAUUUUGUGCUCUGAUUUUUGUAAUCCUAUUAUAACAGAUGUCUCAGCUUUGUUCCCUUUCUUAUAAAAAGACAGAAUGAAAUGUUUCUGGCAGGAGAAUCUACUGUGAUACUAAUUGUCUUGCUCCCUGUUGCUGUAGGAGCCUGGAAGAAAUAAGAAGUAUUCUUCCCCUUCCCAAGGAGUUUGCCAACUAUUUGUGCUUUCUUGCCUCAGGGGGUUGCUGGUAACUUCAGCUUAAGGACAAAACCAGAAUUUUCCAGGCACCAGAAAACACAUUCCUCCCAAGAUGGGGACAGAGAAGGGCAUAGGGGUGAGGAACCCAGGUUAGGA